GCAGUCGAACGAUGAUCCCGGUGCUUGCACCGGGUGAUUAGUGGCGAACGGGUGAGUAACACGUGAGUAACCUGCCCCCGACUCUGGGAUAAGCCCGGGAAACUGGGUCUAAUACCGGAUAUUCACUUCCUUCCGCAUGGAGGGUGGUGGAAAGAUUUAUCGGUGGGGGAUGGACUCGCGGCCUAUCAGCUUGUUGGUGGGGUAAUGGCCCACCAAGGCGACGACGGGUAGCCGGCCUGAGAGGGUGACCGGCCACACUGGGACUGAGACACGGCCCAGACUCCUACGGGAGGCAGCAGUGGGGAAUAUUGCACAAUGGGCGAAAGCCUGAUGCAGCGACGCCGCGUGAGGGAUGACGGCCUUCGGGUUGUAAACCUCUUUCAGUAGGGAAGAAGCGAAAGUGACGGUACCUGCAGAAGAAGCGCCGGCUAACUACGUGCCAGCAGCCGCGGUAAUACGUAGGGCGCAAGCGUUAUCCGGAAUUAUUGGGCGUAAAGAGCUCGUAGGCGGUUUGUCGCGUCUGCCGUGAAAGUCCGGGGCUCAACCCCGGAUCUGCGGUGGGUACGGGCAGACUAGAGUGAUGUAGGGGAGAC
rnacentral:rRNA from 1 species